rnacentral:rRNA from 1 species
UGCGUAGGUGGUUAUAAAAGUUUGUGGUGUAAGUGCAGUGCUUAACGCUGUGAGGCUAUGAAAACUAUAUAACUAGAGUGAGACAGAGGCAAGUGGAAUUCCAUGUGUAGCGGUAAAAUGCGUAAAUAUAUGGAGGAACACCAGUGGCGAAGGCGGCUUGCUGGGUCUAUACUGACACUGAUGCACGAAAGCGUGGGGAGCAAACA